rnacentral:ncRNA from 1 species
UACCUGGUUGAUUCUGCCAGUAGUCAUAUGCUUGUCUCAAAGAUUAACCAUGCAUGUCUAAGUAUAAGCAAU